AAAAUCCGUCGACUUUAUAAAUCGUGAGGGUUCAGUCCUCUAUCCCCC
rnacentral:tRNA from 1 species